GAUGAACGCUGGCGGCGUGCCUAAUACAUGCCAGUCGAGCGAACAGACGAGGAGCUUGCUCCUUUGACGUUAGCGGCGGACGGGUGAGUAACACGUAGGUAACCUACCUAUAAGACUGGGAUAACUUCGGGAAACCGGAGCUAAUACCGGAUAAUAUUUCGAACCGCAUGGUUCGAUAGUGAAAGAUGGCUUUGCUAUCACUUAUAGAUGGACCUGCGCCGUAUUAGCUAGUUGGUAAGGUAACGGCUUACCAAGGCAACGAUACGUAGCCGACCUGAGAGGGUGAUCGGCCACACUGGAACUGAGACACGGUCCAGACUCCUACGGGAGGCAGCAGUAGGGAAUCUUCCGCAAUGGGCGAAAGCCUGACGGAGCAACGCCGCGUGAGUGAUGAAGGUUUUCGGAUCGUAAAACUCUGUUAUUAGGGAAGAACAAACGUGUAAGUAACUGUGCACGUCUUGACGGUACCUAAUCAGAAAGCCACGGCUAACUACGUG
rnacentral:rRNA from 1 species